rnacentral:lncRNA from 1 species
UAGUAAAUUCCCCUACAACAGGAAGGUCGAUGGUUAGACCGAUUUGGAGCUCGUAGUCAAUGUCCCAGUCCACACCAACGUCUCGAGCCAGGUUAAACAGUAUACUAUACGGCACCACCACGGGAAUAUCAAGAGCCGUCAUGUCCUUAGCUUUCAGAGAACCCGGGUCCGGUAUCUUCCCCUUUCCAAUCUCCCUGUUUACAAAUAAUUAGAUCUCUGUUGUUUACAAAAUCUAACAAAGAACCAAACGACGGAGUUAGUAGGUUUUACCUGCCGGCGCUGUGGAAAGUGAAACUGAUCUCACAGAUCGGAAUCGAAUGACUGUAAGGAUUGGUGACAGAGACUUUGGCCAAGUACUCAACUGAGUCACGGUUCACGUCUUUGAGGUCAACGUCCGUAACUGAACCCUCCGGUUUAGGGAUCGCGGUGAGUUUAUCCGCCACGAAGUCCUUGGCUUUAUCUAGCAAGCUCGCCAUAAUAACUCUUCUUGUUUAAAUCUCUUUGUUUUUGUUUCGGUGUUUUAGGUUUGUGUGUAUGAUAUGAAGUUUAACUUGGAAUAUAUAUAUAAACGGAUGGGAUUACGAUGUUCUUAUGAAGUCGGUCGAUGUAAAUGGAUUAAAUUUU